rnacentral:misc_RNA from 1 species
GAUGAAGAACGUAGCGAAAUGCGAUAAGUAAUGUGAAUCGCAGAAUUCAGUGAAUCAUCGAAUCUUUGAACGCACAUUGCGCCCGCCAGUAUUCUGGCGGGCAUGCCUGUUCGAGCGUCAUUACAACCCUCAGGCCCCCGGGCCUGGCGUUGGGGAUCGGCGGAAGCCCCCUGCGGGCACAACGCCGUCCCCCAAAUACAGUGGCGGUCCCGCCGCAGCUUCCAUUGCGUAGUAGCUAACACCUCGCAACUGGAGAGCGGCGCGGCCACGCCGUAAAACACCCAACUUCUGAAUGUUGACCUCGAAUCAGGUAGGAAUACCCGCUGAACUUAAGCAUAUCAAUAAGCGGAGGA